rnacentral:rRNA from 1 species
GUUAGGAAUAUUGGACAAUGGGCGCAAGCCUGAUCCAGCCAUGCCGCGUGAACGAUGAAGGCCUUCGGGUUGUAAAGUUCUUUAGCCGAUGAUUAUAAUGACUGUAGUCGGAAAAUAAGCCCCGGCUAACUUCGUGCCAGCAGCCGCGGUAAUACGAAGGGGGCGAGCGUUAUUCGGAAUCACUGGGCGUAAAGCGUGCGUAGGCGGUCUCGUAAGUUAGGAGUGAAAGCCCAGGGCUCAACCUUGGAAUUGCUCUUAAAACUGCAAGGCUCGAAUCUCGGAGAGGAUAGCGGAAUUUCCAGUGUAGCAGUGAAAUGCGUAGAUAUUGGAAGGAACACCAGUGGCGUAAGCGGCUAUCUGGACGAGUAUUGACGCUGAGGCACGAAAGCGUGGGGAUCAAACAGGAUUAGAUACCCCAGUAGUCC